rnacentral:rRNA from 1 species
CCUACGGGAGGCAGCAGUGAGGAAUAUUGGUCAAUGGCCGAGAGUCUGAACCAGCCAAGUCGCGUGAAGGAUGACUGCCCUAUGGGUUGUAAACUUCUUUUAUAUGGGAAUAAAACGUUCCACGUGUGGGAUUUUGUAUGUACCCUAUGAAUAAGGAUCGGCUAACUCCGGGCCAGCAGCCGCGGUAAUCUGGAGGAUCCGAGCGUUAUCCGGAUUUAUUGGGUUGAAAGGGGGCGUAGGUUGAUUUUUAAGUCAGUGGUGAAAGUUUGCGGCUCAACCGUAAAAUUGCAGUUGAAACUGGCAGUCUGGAGUGCAGUAGAGGUAGGCGGAAUUCGUGGUGGAGCGGUGAAAUGCUUAGAUAUCACGAAGAACUCCGAUUGCGAAGGCAGUUCACUAGACUGCAACUGACACUGAGGCUCGAAAGUGUGGGUAUCAAACAGGAUUAGAUACCCUGGUAGUC